rnacentral:rRNA from 1 species
GUGCCAGCAGCCGCGGUAAUACAGAGGGUGCAAGCGUUGCUCGGAUUUACUGGGCGUAAAGCGUACGCAGACGGCUUGGUAGGUCGGAUGUGAAAGCCCCGGGCUCAACCCGGGAAUUGCAUCCGAAACCACCUCGCUCGAGUGUGGGAGAGGGAAGCGGAAUUCCUGGUGUAGAGGUGAAAUUCGUAGAUAUCAGGAGGAACACCGGCGGCGAAGGCGGCUUCCUGGCCCAUUACUGACGUUCAGGUACGAAAGCGUGGGGAGCAAACAGGAUUAGAUACCCUGGUAGUCC